GGUAUGCUUGUAUAUGCAUAUACAUGUUAUUUUGAAAGCAUUUUGUGCAAAAAUACAUAGGAAAAAAUUAGGUAUCAACAGGGAUAACAAACUACUUUGAGAAAAUAGCCCUAUUUCGCAAAAACGACUGAUGUGGACAAAUAUGGCUAGAUAUGCAAGAUUUGGCUAAGACCCCGCGAAACCAAGAACCUAAGACUUACUAGGAAGACCGGACACUAUGUGGGCUGCCUACAUAUCCCGCCCCGAAGGACGAUAAUCAGGUAUGCGUAGUUCGUGAAGAUUGGAUACAGGAGAGAAAUUAAAAAACACUUAUUUGGAGAAAACAUUUUUUUCUGAAAAAUGAUGAAACAUGUAAAAUAUUUUUUGAUUUUUCUUUUUCUCUUUUUUUUCUUCUAAUUUUUUGAAAAUAAUGGGAAGUGCAAAAUCCUUUUGGAUUUUCAUUUUCAAAUUUUUUUUUGGCUUUUCUUGAAAAAGUUGUGAAAGAAGAAUAUAAUUGGGCCCUACUUGCUUCAUCUUUAUACCCUCAACCAUCAUUGGUCCAUCAAAUGACCUAUUUACCCUAAAAGAAUGCAAUAUCUAACACAUAGGGAUGAUCAAAUAUCUUUUUGCGCCAUUGGCCCGUUUUGACAUAAUUUGGAUAGGCCUCCUACAAAGGGACACGAUGCUUGGGACCGAGCCCUGAUAAGUGUAAAUGACAUGAUACAAAUAAGCAUGACCUAAAGGCUGACCUAAGUUUGGGUUUCACUAGACAAAGGCAAUUCGGGGCGACACGCGGUCGAUGGCUGCUCUAGCUGUCCGCCCACUCCACGCUCUCAUGCCACCCCCUAAAGACAUAGGUGAUUCACAAAAAGGUUGUGUAUGCUAUAACGUACUCUGGAAGACUUGUUGCAGAAAGAAAACUCAUGGUUAUGCAAAUGAUGACAGUUAUAAAGCGGUAAACACACAGGAAAAGCGAUAAACAAAUCACCAACAAAAUAGGAAACAAGACAAACAAAGCAAAUAAACAAAGCAAAUAAAGAAAACAAACACCUCAACCGAAUAUCCUAAAAGCCAACAAGAUCAAGUAUCAACUCGAACCUGCAACUCCCCGAUAGAUUCGUCAAAGCUAUCACACCCCUUUUUUACCUCACUAACCUUCUUAAAAUUAACAAAAAGAUUUGGAAAGCUCAAAAGGGUUUUCAAUUGGAAUAUAACAAAAAACAAUGUUCAAAAGGACUUUUUAGAGUUGCCACCUAACAUUUGAUUUCGGUGUAUCAGGUCACUGUUUUUAGAAAUAAUUUUUCCUUUUAAAACACUUUAGACUCCAAAACUAAGUCUGCACCAGAGAUUCAGGUAAGAUCAAUUGACUCGGGGAGAAUGUGUUAGGCAUUCCCCGAGUCCCGUGGAAAUCACGGUUGCGUACCCGAUCUAAUUGGCUUUCAGAAAUAUUCAAAUUGAGGUAGAAACACACAAAAAGAAAAAAUAAACAUAGAAGAGGCUCGAGAUUGCCCCACCUAAUAAAAGAAAAAUAAAAAAAAAUAAAAUAAUAAAAAGUAAAAUCCUAAGCUAACCUACACUAUACUUCCUCCACGGUAUAGUUUCGGCCUCCGUUUACAUUCACCUCGGGGCAUACCCCUGAUAAAAGAAUAUAAAAUAUAUAUAUAUAUAUAUAUGUAUGUGUGUGUGUACAAACUCUACGGGCAUUCCCCUAGAUAUAAACUAAAGGGAACGACCUCUUACCUCGAGUAAAAUAAAGGACAAGACCUAAAGUUGCCUACCCGAGUGAUGACGACCUAACAUGCUCCAAGCAGUUUAAUUAAUAAGAGUUAGAAUAAAAGAAGUGAUAAAACAUUUUAAAACCCAGUCCAGUAUGAUUUUAAUUUUUAGUCCAAACCCACAGCCCUAGACCUUUCAAACAUCCAAGCAAUCAUCUAAUCUACUCAACUUUGUUAACUUAAUUUUCCAUCACUAUACUAUUAAUCCUAAAACCUCGAAACAUUUACCUUUUAAUAAAGCAUUGCAAAUGAAACUUCAAGUUUACUUUAUCUUUUAAGAAUUCAUCCGAAUAUAAAAAUAUAUGGAAGAAACACACGAACAAUAAUCAAAAGAAGGGAAAAAAACGCAAACAAAUUCUACUAAGGCAUCACGAGCAAAAUGAAACAUUAAUUCAAAAGAUCAACAAAACACAUCAAAGAGAGAUUAACGAGAUUGGAAGCAAUGAAUUAAGCCAAAAAAUAGUACAAGAAAGGGAGAAAUAAACCUCGAAUAGAUUUGAAAUUUGACUGUUGGACAGUUUGACGAUACUAAGCAAUGGAACCGUGAAUAAGAUCUAAACCGGAAAACCUCGCUGGAAACCUCGUCGAACUCUGACCGGACUGCCUCGCUACCUCCCUUUACUCAGAUCUGAGCGUCCGCUCCUCCAUCAAAUUCUCACUUUGUUUUUGCGACCUCUUGUUGCACUCUCUCACGUUGCUGCUGCUGGUUUCCGGCGAACUCUGUGGCGUUGCUGGGAAAAGAGGGGUCUUUGAGAGAUGGGUGUGGCUAAAGCUUUUUAAGAGAGGGGUGGAGGUUGCAGCAUGGAGAAGAUGGCAAUAGCAGUAGUGGUUGUUGAUGGUUGUCGGAUUUCCGGCGAUUUGGUGUGGAUGGAGAUGGGUUUGAUAGGGGUGGCUGAUGUGCGGCGUCUGUGAGGUGAGGGAGGAAAGGUUGGAUGCAGCUAGGUUUUCUCUACUGCAUCUGUGUUCCCCCUAUUCUUUUUGUUAUUUUCUUGUCCCUCUUUUUUACUUGUCUUAUGUAUUUGUGCUUGAACAAGAAAGAAUUCUCCACUAAAAAUGUAUAGACCCCACCAUUUAUUAUGAGAAUGUUCUCACAAGUGCAUAUAUGCUCAUAAAGAUCCAAAAAAAUCAGGGACACAGGUGAAUCCACCACCAAAUGGAAAAUGAACUCAUUUGUUUUUUUGCUUUCCACGUUCUUUUUCCUUUUGUUUCUUGUUUUUUUUUCUUUCUUUCUAAAUAUGAACAAAAACUCUAAUUAUCCAAAAUGGUAAAAAAAUAUUAAAAGGAAAAACAAGAUAGCUAUAUUAAAUAAAUUUAACUGCUAUCCAAUCUUUACUAAAAUCUACAAUUUAGAAAUUAAACUUAAUAUAGGUAUAUUACUACUUUUUUGUUUGAAAUUUUCUUCUUAUCUUUUGAAAAUAAAACAUCAAGACAAUUUUUAUAAUUUUUUUUUCAAAAGUAAAACUAACUAAACAAAGUGUCGACUAGCUAAAAUAAAGGAAAUACCUUUUUUAGUUUUUAGUUUUAAGGGUAAAUAAAGCAAAAAGGUUUAAAAUAGUCAAAAUACUAAUAUUAGGCCUAAAACCAACAGCUAAGCAUUAAAAGGUAUAAAAUUUCGGGGAGGGUCAAAAAUUACAUGUCUACACCCUAAACUUGGUGUAUUAGCAAAUCAAAAUCUCCUAUGACCAAAUGUUCCUUGAUGUUCAUGUCGACUGCCAUCCUAAUUCCAAUGAUACAUUCUUCAUAUUUUGCCAUAUUAUUUGUGCAAGAAAACCUUAUCUUGGUUGAAGCCAAGUGAUGUUGUCCUGAUUCAGAAAUUAGGACUGCCCCAAUCCCACACCUCUGAAGUUUGUCGUUCCAUCGAAAAAUAUUUUCCACCCUUGGUAUGACUGUGAAAUGUCCUUCCCUGCGAACAACACUUCUUCAUCUAGGAAAUAUGUGGUGAGUGACUUAUAAUCCUUGUCCAUUGGGUUCUCUGCGAGAUGAUCGGCCAAUGUUUGUCCUUCGAUAACUUUCUGCGUCACGUACAUAAUAUCAAAUUCACUGAGAAGCAUCUGCCGUUUGGUCAACUUUCCUAUAGGCACUGGCUUCCUGAAGAUGUACUUGAGUGGGUCGAGUCAGCAUAUCAGAUGCGUGGUAUAUGCUGAUAGGUAGUGCCUUAACUUUUGAGCGAUCCGGGUCAGAUAGCAAUAGGUACGCUCUAACAAGGUAUAUCUGGCUUCACACGACGUGAAUUUCUUGCUCAAGCAAUAGAUAGUUCGCUCCCUCUUUCCAGUCUCAUCGUGUUGUCCCACCACGCAUCCAAAUACAUUUUCCAAUAUGGACAAGUAUAGUAGCAGCGGCUUCCCAAGUUCAAGAGAAACUAACACCGGCGGAUUUGACAAAUACUCCUUGAUCUUCUCGAAAGCUUUCGGACAUUUUUCAGUCCAAUUUGUUGCAACAUCUUUCUUUAACAAUUUGAAAAUAGGCUCGCAGAUUAGUGUUGACUAGGCUAUGAACCUGCUGAUAUUGUUUAAUCUAUCGAGGAAGCUUAUCACGUCCUUCUUGCUUUUGGGUGGAGGCAAGCCUUAAAUGGCCUUGAUCUUUGAGGAGUCUAGCUCUAUCCCUUUUCUGCUGAUGAUGAAACCUAAUAUUUUUCCUGGGGGAACUCCAAAUACACACUUCGCAGGAUUCAAAUUCAAACUGUGUCUCCACAAUCAUUCAAAGAACUUCCUUAAGUCAGUUAAAUGAUCUACAUCCUUUUGAGACUUGAUGAUGACAUCAUCCACAUAUACCUCAAUUUCCUUGUGGAUAAUGUUGUGAAAGAGGGUCGUCAUGGCCCUCAUAUUGGUAGCAUCGGUGUUCUUGAGACUAAAUGGCAUGACUAUAUAGCAAUAAACUUCAUAUGGAGUGGUGAACGCUACCUUCUCUACAUCUUCUCCGUGCACUAGAAUCUGAUGGUAUCCAGCGAAACAAUCCACGAACGAUUGCAACUCAGGUUUCGCGUAGUUGUCGACAAGGAUAUGAAUAUUUGGUAGAGGAAAGUUAUCCUUUGGACUAGCUCUAUUAAGAUCUUAAUAGUCCACACAUAUCCUGAUCUUUCCAUCCUUCUUCGGUACUUGUACGAUGUUUGCCAACUAUGUAGGAUAAUGGGUGACUCUCACCACAUUCGUUUCUAUCUGCUUGGUGACUUCUUAUUUUAUCCUUAGACUCAAAUCUGGCUUGAAUUUUCUGGCUUUCUGCUUGAUAGAUAGUCUGGCAGGAUCGGUGGGCAAUCAACGUGAGACGAUAUCGGUACUCAAUCUACGUAUGUCCUCAUAUGACUAAGCGAAUAUUAAUGUAUUGUCGGAGGAGCUCUACCAAUUCUUCCCUCUAUUCUGUCUUCAGGUAGAUGUUGAUUCAGGUUUCUUUCAUAUCUUCUUCACUUCCCAAGUUAAUUACUUCUGUUUCUUCGAGGUUGGGCUUUUUUUGGCUCUCUAGCUGCUCGAUUUCUUGCAGGAGGUUCUCAGGCAUCAUGCUCUCAUCGUACUCUUCGUAGUCUGGAUCAUUUUUCUCAAGGGUUUUGUUACAUGUCAUAAUCGUGGAACGUGGGUUUUUAUCAAUUUUAUAACUAAAAAAGAAAAGUAAGUAUAAAUAAGGGCGAAAAAUGAAUUGGAAAUGAUUUCAAAAAAAAUAAUUCUUUCUAUUUCAUCAAAAGGAACAUCUCAGCGUUCAAAGAGGAAAUUUUGACAAAAAGGUACCAGCAUGGCUCAAGCCUCAAUUGACCAUGUUUGUUCAAAAUUACUAUAAUUCCACACUACCAAGACUCUCGACGAACCAGAGAUGGACUAGCGGUCCAAUUAUGCAAGCUCUCUUCUAGUUCAGCAUCCUAAAUGUUCGGUGUCUUGAUAUCAGCUUUGCCGCAACAUUCCUCGAUCAUGGUCACGAACAAUCUUCCCAUUCCAUCAAUGAUGUCAUCCUCUAGUGGUGAGCUCUAACCCGAGGCCGGAACACGCUCUAAUACAAAAACCUUUUUCCCAGGGUUACCGUUAUAAGUUCUUCUAGUUAUAGGUUAAUACUCCAAGCCCGCGGUGCUUUAUGCCCUUUUGAUUCAAUUGACUUUGUUAUCCCAUCUGAUCGGGCUCCCAACCCAGUCCCUGGUUGGUACCCAUACUUCAUCAUCUCUCGCAUUGCCAUCUUUGACUUGUACGAUGACUACAUACCAUGGUUUUUUCACUCUUCUUCAUUUCUGUUGCUUGCAUGAUCUCAACCGCAUAAAAAACAACCCCGUCUAAUCCUUAUAUAAAAGGAACAUCAUGUUCUAGGUAGGAUGACUGGCUCCACUCUCCGUGUAUCAUAAUCUAUUGGCAAUCCGACUCGAAUUUCAUACAUUGAUUAAGAGUGGAAGGAUCUGCUCCGCCAUAUGUAUCCAGGACCUUACUAGUAAUAGGUUGUAUGAAGAUGAAAUGUCCAUCACUUGAAACAAUAUUGGGAACUCAACUGGUCCAAUUUAUAAGGCUAAGUAAAUCUCUUUGAUGACAUCCUUCUGCAACCCAUCGAGAGCCCUCACUCUUACAUGGAUUUCUUUCACUUUCCUCAAAUGAAUACCCAAUUCUCGCAGAGUAGAGAACAUGCAAAUGUUUGCUACGGCUCCUUCGUUGACAAGCACUUGAGACACGACUUUAUCCCCACACUUGACUGUGAUGUGCAGAGCUUUGUUAUGAUCCAUACCCUCCAUAGAAAGUUCAUUCUUCCGAAAGGAAAUCAUGUUUGCUUCAACCAUCUUCCCAAUGGUUGCCGUUAAUGCCUCGUUGGUAGUAUUUCUCAACACACUUACUCCACUUAGCACCUUCACUAAAGCGUCCCUAUGACUAUCGGAGCUCAUCAACAAAUCCAUGAUUGAUAUAUGGGCAGGUGUCUUCCUCAACUGUUCCUCUACGAAAUAUUCUUCAACCGGCAUCUUCCACUAAAACUCCAUCACCUCAGCGUCUAUUAUAUCUCUUCUUUGGUUUUUUUCCCUACUCAAAUUCCCUCGAUUCACCUCCUUUAGAGAGAACACCUUCCUGGUCUAGUCAUCCCGUGAGUAGCUGUGGUUUUGUCAUUUUGCCCUUUGAUUGGUAAGUGCAUGGGAAUGUUUUGUAUUCUCGACUCCCCUCAUUUCUAACGGUGGUGAUGGACCAUUUUUGGUAUGUCUUAAUCAUCACAAGAGGUUUCAGCUGCAUAGUAAUCAAUGGAGUUUCGAGGUGACACUCUUGCAGCUUUGGCAUUCCCAAUAGUGACGAUGAUCCCCUUCAAGUCAUAAUUCUCGUCCAAUGCAAUCGUCUUGGCUCCUUGAUUUCUAUUAUUUUUCAAUGGCUUAAGGUUUACAUUUGGUGUGGCUGGGGUACAUUGGGUAGCUUCACUACUCUUGAUUAGCAUCUCGAUCUCAUUCUUCAGUCUAUAACAAUCCUCAGUAUCAUGCCUAGGAACACCGAAUGGUAGGCACAACGCUUGGUUGCGUUAAAAUAUUUGGAGGUUUGGUAAAAAAUUCUUCCUUCCACUAGGUAUAUCGGUCCGGCUCUCCUUAACCUUUCUAACAACUGGGCUAAGGGUUCAGCGAUUAGAGUGAAGUUUCUGGGAUUUCUUUUGAGUUUGUGCGUGUCUGGGGUGCAUAGGCAGGUCUAUUUUGGUGGGUGGUGGUUUGAACUGAGGCAUAUGGUCGUGGUGGGUUUGGAUAUAUAUUGGCUCGGGGCGGGUUGUAGUGAGGUUGAGCAUUAUAGUAUGGUUAGGUGGUAUAUACUGUGGCAUAGGUGGGUUGAUGUGUAUGUGGGGUAAAGGUUGGUUCGAUGAGGAGGACUUAACUGAUAUUAGGAGACAAUUGUCAUUACUUCCUCUUUCUUUUUCUUACCAUUGCCUAUGGAACCAGAUUGCAUAGCAUUGCUGGCAGCUUGCAGUGUGGCCAUUGACUGUAGUUUUCCUGAUUUGAUACCUUCUUCCAUGAAGUAUCCCAUUUUAACCAGCUCGGGAUUUUGACCCAUCAUACCCAUCAUCCUUUCAGAAUAAAUUCCUUCUUAGGUCGGGAUAAAAUACUCGGUUAGGUCAUUAUCAUCAAGUGAAGGUUGGGUACUAGCAGCUUUUAAUCUCCAACAGCAAACGUACUCUUUAUACGACUCCAAGGGUUUCUUUUGCAAAUUCACCAAAGCUAACAUGUCUGGAAUGAUCUCGGUAUUAAAUCUUAAGCGAUUUCUAAAAUUCUCCUCCAUGUCCUGCCACUCUCUCCGAUUCCCGGGUAUACCAAGUAAGCACUUCUCCCGUCAGAUGCCUUAUAAACAACUUCAUUCUCUGGUUUUCAUUUCUUCCCACUCUGACCAGCUUGUCAUAGUAGGCCCUCAAUUUAGCGUGUAGAUCACCCUUUCAAUCAAUAAUGUCAAACUUUGGAGGCUUAUACUGUCAUGAACUUAACCUAUGGGCCAUGAUGAGUGCCCGAGUCCUACCUGUCGAACACCCCUAAACAUAUGUCUAAGAUAUAAGCAUGAAAUAAGGGUAGGUCAUGCACAACAUCUGUUAAUAAACUACUGAAUCAUGUGAAUAACAUAAGUGAGAAAACAUGCCCAUAUAUAUAUAUAUAUAUAUAUAUAUAUAUAUAUAUAUAUAUAUGCAGAACGCGGUAGCGCGAGCCGAAAAGGCUGCUAUGGACCACUAUAUAUCCAAAAUAGAAGCCGACAAGGCCAUACACUAUCCAACUAUACAUGAUUGUCUACAAACCUCUAAUAGAGUGUAGAAAUUUAUAAAGGAUGAGACCGGGCCCUGUCAUACCCAUAUAUGUAUACAAAUAUAUCGUACCAAAACCCAAAAGCAGCUCUAGAUCAAACGGAGCACACCAACUCUCGUUGAGCAAGGAUCCUAAGAAGGGGGACCGUUAGCCUGUCUACCUGCACUUGCGGGCAUGAAAACAAGCAAUAGGAACGUUGGUACGAAUAAUGUAUCGAGUAUGUCAGGGAUAAAAAUUAGUAUAUAAAAGACAUGAAAGAAAGAUGGAGUAAAGAACUCAACCUGUAAGUCUGAAUAGCUAUGUGAAUCAUGAAACAUUUAUAAUGUCAUGUAUAUGUGUAUAAAUUUCAUAUCAUGCAUAGUUAUAUGCGUACAUAAUAUCAUCAAGCCUCUGAGGGCAUCCCAUUAUAUCAUCUCGGCCUUAGUGGACGAAAUUAUCAACGUAUACCAACUAAUCAGGUGGUGGUGCAUGUAUAAUGUCGUAACUUUUUUCCAUACCCCAUAUACAUAUAAUAUACGUGUAUAUAACUCCAUAUGGUCAUGGUUCAGUGUACAUAUUUGAAUGCAAUGCAUAAUGAAGUAAGUCAAUAAGAUCUCUCGAAAUGUCAUAAGAUCAAUAUGUCUUCGGAUAAACUUUAUCAACUUACGUAUUUUUCUAAGACCCGUGAAUAGACGAUAUAAUAAUAGGACACAUAGGGAAUCGAUAACAUAGGCACUCCUAGUACUUCUAUGAAUAGAGGCAUUUAUGAAAGUUGUGUGUUUGCUCUCUUCGUUUGUAUCAUAUGGACCAUGCCAAAAGGAAAGAAGGGAUAGCCUUAACUUACCUUUGUUUCUUGGCUAGAGAUAGCUCACGAGCUCCAUUACGCUCUACAAAUGAUAAUCUACAUUGUAUAAAUGGUUUGGAUUACAAUCGAAUCAACAAACCAAGAAUUGGAUUCACUACGACAUUUUAUCGAACAUUUAAGGUGCAUGAACUUCAUAUCAUCCUACAAUGGCAAUUCAAUAAUACUAGCUCUUCUACUCCACUUUCAACACAAUCACCAUCACAAAAUCCUAUACUUCACAAUUUUCAACCAUAGGAUACCUUAAGAAACCACUCAAAAUUGUCCAACAACUACGACACUUCAUCAAUAACCAAACUAUGAUCCAAAUGUCCUCAAAUACAUGGAGAAGAGUAUGAUAUAACCUUGAACAACAAGGAUAACAACACAUACACAUAUUUAUAACUAUAUUUUCAGCCCUUCAACACAAUCAAAUCCUCCUUAAAUACACUACAAGAACCUUUAUUUCUACACCAAUAAGAAUUUAAAGUGGAUUUCUCCAAGUUGACGAUGAACUUAUCUAGAAUGAUUGUUGAAUUAUUACCUUAAUUAUUUGAAAAAAAGGUAUAGGAUGAGUUGUUAGAUAAGUCUUCCCAACACCUUUACAAACAAAACCUCCAAACAACAUAUAUAUUAGUAUAAUUAUUUUGUGUGAGCAUAGUAUUCAAAUUCUUAGAUGUAAUAGUAGCUACAUCAUUUUCAAAUAAUUUUGAAAAAGCAGUAAAAUAUACUAUUUUAUCCUUUUCUCCUAUUUGAAAAGAUUGUUGGGGUGAAAAAACUAAUUUGGUUAUUUUUCCACUAGCGAGCAUAUAGUCUCUUUCUAAAAUCGAAAUAUAAUUAUAGACAUGCUUAGACAUAAACCAAGGAACAAAAGAAAUAAUCUUACUUUUCUUGCUUAUGUCUUCAUAGAAAUCAUGUCCGAAGAACUGUAUUAAUUCAUCAUUAAAAUUUUCAAAAAAUCAUUUUCUGAAAAUAGCCUAUCUGAGUUUUAAAAAUUCUUCUAAAAUUAUUUUUCUUGACGGUACACGGUAUACAACAUAAUGUUGUUGUAUACUUUUAGAAGAAUACAAGACAGCAUUUUGAUAUAUUGUAUGCUAUCUUGGUAUACUAUAUAUAAUUCAACAGUAUACAAUUUACUGUAAUAACAUAUUGUUAUAAUAUAUAAUAUAAUAUAAUAAUAUACUGUUAUAAGUGGAUCCUAUUUUAGUUUUUAGAAAUUUUCAGGUCCUUUUCCAAGACUUUAGGCGAAGUUUUCAUACUUUUUUCAACUGUUUUUUUAAACGAAGUGUUUAGUGGGGUUCCAUGGAGGAAUUAUCCAUGUAUAAAAAGUAGGUGUAAGAAUAUAUAUAUAUAUAUAUAAAAUAGUAAUAUACCUAUUUGGUAUAUUUAUAAACGUUAUAGUAUAUACUACUAUGUAAAAUAUUUAUAGUAAUAUUAAAUGCUAAUAUAUUAUUUUACACUAAUAUACUAUUUUCAUCUACUAGUUUUAGAGUACGCGCGUUGCGUGUGUUUCCAUCUCAAUAAGUAUUUUUUGGUAAAAAAAUUACAUAAAUAUAAUUUUUAAAAUUGUAAAUAUUAGGAUUUCUUACUUAGUUCAAAUGAUAAAAGUUUUAAUAGAUCAUAGUGAGACAUUAUUCAGUCAAUGAAUCUGUAAAUCUUUUCAACAAUUUAUUCUUAUAUAAGACUACAGUUAGAACAACACACAUCUAAUAAUGAUAUCAAUCUUUGUAUUAAACUUGUAAUAGGUGUUUACCAUUAAAAUUGGAUAACAAUUAAAUUUAUAGGUGGUUUUAAUUAUUUGCGAUUUCACUUGGUACAAACUGAGAAAUAUAAGAGUUAAUGUUAGAAAUUAACUGUAAAGUAAAGCAAACCAAUGUAAUGAGCAGUUACGACCAUCUAGCUAGAUCGCCCUCGAACCAAUAGAGUGUGCUAAAAGAGUAUGAACCGAACAACAAAGCUUAAGAGAGAAAAUAUGAUAUAUUGUUGUUAUGCAGGAAUAUGAUGAUUACAGAAUGAUUAGAACCCUCUUUAUAUAAUAGAGGAAUUCUACUUAUGGUACAAUUCUAAAUACAUAAGGAAAUCUCAUGAUUGGCUAAAUGUUCAGUUUGUACUUGAUAUGUGCCGAGAUUUUCGCCACGACCCUUGCCCGGUCACGGAUAUCUCAGCUUUCUGUUAUUCUGUUUAGCAUGCUUUCUUCAAUCAUGCUCGAUCCUUAUCUCGUUUCGGUUUUGAUCAUGGUUGGUCUCGAUCUUGAUCGAUCAUCGACUCAUGAGCUUAGUAUUAUAUUUUUGUGCCAUGGUCUGAUGCAAUGCGAGGCCGAGCCUCGGUCUGCUACCCCGAUCUUGGUUAGCCAUGCCAAAUUAGAGAAACACGAUUUUGACCGUAUACAAUAGGCAACAUAAUUCCUAGAAAUUGUAGGGAAGGACUUAAGUUGCUAAAUUUACAAUUGAUCUCAUCGCCCACAAGAAAAUAGAAGAGUUCUAUUGUAGUACUCUCGACUAUUUUAACCAUAUUUAUUCCUUUAACUAUGGAUUAUUUUUAGCUAUUCUUUAUCUAAAAUUGUUCCUUAUUUUUAAAUUCAAAUCUUUUCAAAAUAUAUGUUUACGUAUUUUAAAACCUUCCCGUUUUUAUUCUAAAACUCUUACCCUUAUUUUAGACUUUCCAUAUCUUUUCAUAAUUAAAUUUAAUCGAUUUUGAAUUCCUAAAUAUUAUGGAAAUAAUUAAUGAUUGUUCCUAAAUAUAAGGAACCAAUUAAAAUGGCUAUUUUGCCCACUAUGAAAUUUAUUUUUAAAGAGUAAAAAAGGCAAACGAUAUUUCGUUAAGGGUUUUCGUACUUUUAAUAUAGUAUAAAUAUGUCAAAAAUAUUUACAGUAAUAUCUUAUUUUGAUAUAGACCAUGUGGUAUAGAGGAAUGAAUGUGUUUCUGAAAGGAAUGAACCACACCUCUAUAAUACUAUAUUAAUACAUAAUAGAUACUAUGUGGGUAUCGCAAAGGACUGAUGACCAUUUUUUGCAGUAAAUUUUUUAAAUUUGCGUUAAAGUUGAGUUGAACUAGCGAAGAAGAAUUUGUAUUGUAUACCAAAAUAAUAUACUAUAUACCGUUUUAAUAUACAAUUCAUUCCCACGAUAUACUAUAUAAUAUAAUAAUAUACUAUUAGAAUUUGAUCCUUUUAGAAUUUUUUGAAAUUUUCAUUUAGUUCGUUUCAACAGAGUUCUCAUGUUUUUGGGUUUUUUUUUCCGUAAACCAAAAUAUUUCAUUUGAAAUAUUUGAUAGGAGGUUGUGGCUAAAG
rnacentral:lncRNA from 1 species